ACACUUUUAUCGCCGAAACAAAACUUAUUAAGUUAGUUUCCAUAUUUUUAUAUUAUAUUUUUAAGUUAAUUCUUCAAAAUACAUUAGUAUUAAGUAUUUCAAUGUCCAUAUGCAUCAAAUGGUGGUUCCAUAUAUUCAUCUAAGAUCUUACUAACUUCCUUGUAUUGUCUCAAGUGCUGCCUUACUUCAAAGGUGUUGUUUAUAUUUAGGUAUUCCAAAUUUUGUGGCGUCGAUUUUGGCCAUGUUAUAUUGAAGAGAAGAGGAUCUUUUUCGGGGGUUGGGUUU